rnacentral:rRNA from 1 species
UACGAAGGGGGCUAGCGUUGCUCGGAAUCACUGGGCGUAAAGCGCACGUAGGCGGAUUGCUAAGUCAGGGGUGAAAUCCCGGGGCUCAACCUCGGAACUGCCUUUGAUACUGACAAUCUCGAGUCCGAUAGAGGUGGGUGGAAUUCCUAGUGUAGAGGUGAAAUUCGUAGAUAUUAGGAAGAACACCGGUGGCGAAGGCGGCCUUCUGGACGGUGACUGACGCUGAGACGCGAAAGCGUGGGAGCAAACAGG